rfam:Salmo salar isolate Sally breed double haploid chromosome ssa01, whole genome shotgun sequence.
UCCCCUGUGGCUCAGUUUGUAGAGCAUGGUGUUUGCAACGCCAGGCUUGUGGGUUUGAUUCCCACGGGGGAC